CCUACGGGAGGCUGCAGUCGAGAAUCUUUCGCAAUGGGCGAAAGCCUGACGAAGCGACGCUGUGUGGACGAUGAAGGCCUUCGGGUUGUAAAGUCCUUUCGCGUGGGAACGGGUACCACGUAAAGAAGCACCGGCUAACUCCGUGCCAGCAGCUGCGGUAAUACGGAGGGUGCAAGCAUUAAUCGGAUUUACUGGGCGUAAAGGGCGCGUAGGCGGGUGGUCAAGUCAAGUGUGAAAUUCCGGAGCUCAACUCCGGAGCGGCACUUGAAACUACAUCUAUAGAGGGAUGGCGGAGAAAACGGAAUUCCACGUGUAGCGGUGAAAUGCGUAGAUAUGUGGAAGAACACCAGUGGCGAAAGCGGUUUUCUACAUUACCUGACGCUGAGGCGCGAGAGCAUGGGGAGCAAACAGGAUUAGAUACCCUUGUAGUC
rnacentral:rRNA from 1 species